UGCCAGCCGCCGCGGUAAUACGGAGGGUGCAAGCGUUAAUCGGAAUUACUGGGCGUAAAGCGCGCGUAGGCGGUUUUGUAAGUCGGAUGUGAAAUCCCCGGGCUUAACCUGGGAACUGCACUCGAUACUGCAUAACUAGAGUAUGGUAGAGGGAAGUGGAAUUUCCGGUGUAGCGGUGAAAUGCGUAGAUAUCGGAAGGAACACCAGUGGCGAAGGCGGCUAACUGGCUCGGUACUGACGCUGAGAUGCGAAAGCGCGGGGAGCAAACAGGAUUAGAUA
rnacentral:rRNA from 1 species